rnacentral:rRNA from 1 species
UACGGGGGGGGCAAGCGUUGUUCGGAAUUACUGGGCGUAAAGGGCUCGUAGGCGGCCAACUAAGUCGGAUGUGAAAUCCCCAAGCUUAACUUGGGAACUGCAUCCGAUACUGGAUGGCUUGAAUCCGGGAGAGGGAUGCAGAAUUCCAGGUGUAGCGGUGAAAUGCGUAGAUAUCAGGAGGAAUACCGAUGGCGAAGGCAGGUCUCUGGGCUGACACUGACGCUCAUGCACGAAAGCGUGGGGAGCAAACAGG